ACGGAGAAGGCUAUGUUGGCCGGGCGACGGUUGUCCCGGUUUAAGCGUGUAGGUGUGUGUUCCAGGUAAAUCCGGUUCACUUUAACACUGAGGCGUGACGACGAGGCACUACGGUGCUGAAGCAACAAAUGCCCUGCUUCCAGGAAAAGCCUCUAAGCAUCAGGUAACAUCAAAUCGUACCCCAAACCGACACAGGUGGUCAGGUAGAGAAUACCAAGGCGCUUGAGAGAACUCGGGUGAAGGAACUAGGCAAAAUGGUGCCGUAACUUCGGGAGAAGGCACGCUGACACGUAGGUGAAGUGAUUUACUCAUGGAGCUGAAGUCAGUCGAAGAUACCAGCUGGCUGCAACUGUUUAUUAAAAACACAGCACUGUGCAAACACGAAAGUGGACGUAUACGGUGUGACGCCUGCCCGGUGCCGGAAGGUUAAUUGAUGGGGUCAGCGCAAGCGAAGCUCCUGAUCGAAGCCCCGGUAAACGGCGGCCGUAACUAUAACGGUCCUAAGGUAGCGAAAUUCCUUGUCGGGUAAGUUCCGACCUGCACGAAUGGCGUAAUGAUGGCCAGGCUGUCUCCACCCGAGACUCAGUGAAAUUGAACUCGCUGUGAAGAUGCAGUGUACCCGCGGCAAGACGGAAAGACCCCGUGAACCUUUACUAUAGCUUGACACUGAACAUUGAGCCUUGAUGUGUAGGAUAGGUGGGAGGCUUUGAAGUGUGGACGCCAGUCUGCAUGGAGCCGACCUUGAAAUACCACCCUUUAAUGUUUGAUGUUCUAACGUGGACCCGUUACCCGGGUUGCGGACAGUGUCUGGUGGGUAGUUUGACUGGGGCGGUCUCCUCCUAAAGAGUAACGGAGGAGCACGAAGGUUGGCUAAUCCUGGUCGGACAUCAGGAGGUUAGUGCAAUGGCAUAAGCCAGCUUGACUGCGAGCGUGACGGCGCGAGCAGGUGCGAAAGCAGGUCAUAGUGAUCCGGUGGUUCUGAAUGGAAGGGCCAUCGCUCAACGGAUAAAAGGUACUCCGGGGAUAACAGGCUGAUACCGCCCAAGAGUUCAUAUCGACGGCGGUGUUUGGCACCUCGAUGUCGGCUCAUCACAUCCUGGGGCUGAAGUAGGUCCCAAGGGUAUGGCUGUUCGCCAUUUAAAGUGGUACGCGAGCUGGGUUUAGAACGUCGUGAGACAGUUCGGUCCCUAUCUGCCGUGGGCGCUGGAGAACUGAGGGGGGCUGCUCCUAGUACGAGAGGACCGGAGUGGACGCAUCACUGGUGUUCGGGUUGUCAUGCCAAUGGCACUGCCCGGUAGCUAAAUGCGGAAGAGAUAAGUGCUGAAAGCAUCUAAGCACGAAACUUGCCCCGAGAUGAGUUCUCCCUGAGACUUUAGGUCUCCUGAAGGAACGUUGAAGACGACGACGUUGAUAGGCCGGGUGUGUAAGCGCAGCGAUGCGUUGAGCUAACCGGUACUAAUGAACCGUGAGGCUUAACCUUACAACGCCGAAGAUGUUUUGGCGGAUGAGAGACGAUUUUCAGCACUGAUUCNNNNNNNNNNNNNNNNNNNNGGAUGAGAGACGAUUUUCAGCACUGAUUCAGAUUACAUCAGAACGUAAAAACGGUCUGAUAACAGAAUUUGCCUGGCGGCAGUAGCGCGGUGGUCCCACCUNNNNNNNNNNNNNNNNNNNNUAGCGCGGUGGUCCCACCUGACCCCAUGCCGAACUCAGAAGUGAAACGCCGUAGCGCCGAUGGUAGUGUGGGGUCUCCCCAUGCGAGAGUAGGGAACUGCCAGGCAUCAAAU
rnacentral:rRNA from 1 species